GAAAAGUAUAGAUCCUGUAUUAAUGGCUCCUACAUGUGUGUUUUUGGCAUCCAAAGUAGAGGAAUUUGGAGUAGUUUCAAAUACAAGAUUGAUUGCUGCUGCUACUUCUGUAUUAAAAACUAGAUUUUCAUAUGCCUUUCCAAAGGAAUUUCCUUAUAGGAUGAAUCAUAUAUUAGAAUGUGAAUUCUAUCUGUUAGAACUAAUGGAUUGUUGCUUGAUAGUGUAUCAUCCUUAUAGACCUUUGCUCCAGUAUGUGCAGGACAUGGGCCAAGAAGACAUGUUGCUUCCCCUUGCAUGGAGGAUAGUGAAUGAUACCUACAGAACGGAUCUUUGCCUACUGUAUCCUCCUUUCAUGAUAGCUUUAGGUAUGUAAGCAUGCCUGUGUUGUACAGCAGAAAGAUGCCAGGCAAUGGUUUGCUGAGCUUUCUGUGGAUAUGGAAAAGAUUUUGGAAAUAAUCAGGGUUAUUUUAAAACUAUAUGAGCAGUGGAAGAAUUUCGAUGAGAGAAAAGAGAUGGCAACCAUUCUUAGUAAGAUGCCAAAACCAAAACCACCUCCAAACAGUGAAGGAGAGCAGGGUCCAAAUGGAAGUCAGAACUCUAGCUACAGCCAAUCUUAAAACAUUCCGAAGAAUUCCAUAGUGGACCACUUGGAAAUAAACCAUUGGACAGAUUUCAGUAAUGUCUUCAGUGGAACACAAAUGAAAAUGAAUAGCUUGUUUCUGUCAAGCAUAUUGGAAAGUGAUUUUAUUUUUGCAAAAUAAGUUUUUCUUUAAUAUGAUUCUAGUACAUAAUUGAUUAAAAUCUCUUGAUUAUAAAUGUUUGGAAAGGUUCUAAGGGGACCUACAGACAGACAUACAUAGACAUUUCAAAAUUAAUAGCUUUUGAUUAGUAUAAUAUUUCUUAAUUUGGAUAAUAAAAAUUGUAGCUUUUUAUUAAGCCAGGAAACAUGAAGCAUAAUUUGUUUAAAAUUCUCUUUGGUCAUUGAGGGACCAAAAAAGGACGUAAAAUUUACAGUCAAUCUAUGAGGGUUUUUUUCCCUCCAUAAGUUUAACUUUAAAACUGUAUUUAAGGAAUCAAAUCUUACAAAAUCCUGGAAGAUUUUGGUAAUGAUGUUGAUAAUUUCAGGGAAAUUAAUCAAGUACCUAUAUUGAUUUAAAAGUGUAUUUUAUUCAGUAGUUUGAGGAUCUUGCCAUGGAAGAUACUAGCCCAGCCUAGCAGAAAAGUGCAAUAUGUAUAGCAUACUUUGACAUUUUAAACAUGAUAGUCCAUAACCAUUUUGAAAUGCUGGGCAAACUACAUGAAGUUAUUUAUAAUUAAUUCACAGCUAAUCAGGCAUUUUGAAAGCUUAAUUGGAUUCAAAAACCAUAAUGUUGGAAUUUGGUAAAAUUUUAAUGUUGAUUUUUACUGUGAAAAGGUUUUUAUAAGAUAUACACACCCUAGUUUAAUGUUGUGUCUUGGUGUGGAUUUACAGAUUUACUACAGGUAUUCUGAACCAGGAACACAAUCAGGUUUCAGGCCAGUUUGAUACUGGCUGUCCUUAAUUCUAAUAUGAGAGUAGGACAUCAUACUAAAUGUUAUGUCAGUGGGACUGUACUGUCUGUGGAACUUAGCAAAUUAAUCAUUUUCUUCAGACUUGAAGGAGAGUGAUAAAUAAAAUUUGGAGUCAUAGGAUAUUGAUGCACAAUUUAAGGAUUAAACAUUUUUAAUCAAUUGUGGAUGAUGGCUUAUUAAAUGUUGACUUCCUAGUAUAAAACUGCAAGAAUAAAAGUAACUUCUCCA
rnacentral:lncRNA from 1 species